rnacentral:rRNA from 1 species
UGGGGAAUAUUGCACAAUGGGGGAAACCCUGAUGCAGCGACGCCGCGUGAGUGAAGAAGUAUUUCGGUAUGUAAAGCUCUAUCAGCAAGGAAGAAAAUGACGGUACUUGACUAAGAAGCCCCGGCUAACUACGUGCCAGCAGCCGCGGUAAUACGUAGGGGGCAAGCGUUAUCCGGAUUUACUGGGUGUAAAGGGAGCGUAGACGGUUUAACAAGUCAGAAGUGAAAGCCCAGGGCUUAACCUUGGGACUGCUUUUGAAACUGUCGGACUAGAGUGCAGGAGAGGUAAGCGGAAUUCCUAGUGUAGCGGUGAAAUGCGUAGAUAUUAGGAGGAACACCAGUGGCGAAGGCGGCUUACUGGACUGUAACUGACGUUGAGGCUCGAAAGCGUGGGGAGCAAACAGG